CCGUAAACGAUGAACACUAGGUGUUGGUGGAGUCGAAUCCGUCGGUGCCGCAGUUAACGCGUUAAGUGUUCCGCCUGGGGAGUACGGCCGCAAGGCUAAAACUCAAGAGAAUUGACGGGGGCCCGCACAAGCAGCGGAGCAUGUUCUUUAAUUCGAUGCAACGCGAAGAACCUUACCUGGACUUGACAUGGUGCUGCAAGCGCACGGAAACGUGUGACCUUAGAGGGUGCACCACAGAUGCUGCAUGGCUGUCGUCAGCUCGUGUCGUGAGAUGUUGGGUUAAGUCCCGCAACGAGCGCAACCCCCGUCGUGUGUUGCCAUCAUUUAGUUGGGGACUCACGCGAGACUGCCGGUGACAAACCGGAGGAAGGUGGGGAUGACGUCAAGUCAUCAUGGCUCUUACGUCCAGGGCUAGAAACGUGCUACAAUGGCGUACACAAAGGGCAGCAAGACCGCGAGGUGGAGCGAAUCCCAUCAAAGUACGUCUAAGUUCGGAUCGCAGUCUGCAACUCGACUGCGUGAAGGCGGAGUUGCUAGUAAUCGCGGAUCAGAACGCCGCGGUGAAUGCGUUCCCGGGCCUUGUACACACCGCCCGUCACACCACGGGAGUAAGUAAUGCCCGAAGUGGGCGCAGCUAACCGGCUUGUCCGGAGGCGGCUCACGAAGGUAGGAUCUGCGACUGGGGUGAAGU
rnacentral:rRNA from 1 species